CUCUCUAAAUGAAAGAAGAAGAAGAGAAGAAGAAGAGGAAGGAGAAGGAGAGAAAGAAGAAAAGGGAGGAGAAGAAGCUUGGAGGGACCAUCAUCACCAUCAUCUUCUUCUUCUUCACUUUGGAGCAAGCUUUUGGAGGUAACCUCCUUGCUCAUCCAUGGUAGAUUUGUAGGGUUUGGUUUAAAUACCUUAUAAAUGGAUUUAGAGGAAUCCUAGCAUGCUAUCUAGAUGAAUGAUACCUAAUUCAUGAAGGUAUUUGGUGGUUUUUGCCGUAGUCGCAAACUAGGGCUCAAAAAUGGGAUUUUUGUAAAUAGAUGGGUUUGAUCUCAAAUAACCCUCUGUAAACCUAAUUGAUAGGUAACGAAACACGUUGGCGAAGACGGUUCGGCAAUCCGACGAGCUGUUACAAAGAUAUUGAAGAAACG
rnacentral:lncRNA from 1 species